rnacentral:rRNA from 1 species
GACGAACGCUGGCGGCGUGCUUAACACAUGCAAGUCGAACGGAAAGGCCCUGCUUGCAGGGUGCUCGAGUGGCGAACGGGUGAGUAACACGUGGGUGAUCUGCCCCUUACUUUGGGAUAAGCCUGGGAAACUGGGUCUAAUACUGGAUAGGACCAUGCUGUAGGUGGUGUGGUGGAAAGAUUAGUUUCGGUAAGGGAUGAGCUCGCGGCCUAUCAGCUUGUUGGUGGGGUAAUGGCCUACCAAGGCGUCGACGGGUAGCCGGCCUGAGAGGGUGGACGGCCACAUUGGGACUGAGAGACGGCCCAGACGCCUACGGGAGGCAGCAGUGGGGAAUAUUGCACAAUGGGCGCAAGCCUGAUGCAGCGACGCCGCGUGGGGGAUGACGGCCUUCGGGUUGUAAACUCCUUGCAGCCAUGACGAAGCCCUUGUGGUGACGGUAGUGGUAGAAGAAGCACCGGCUAACUACGUG